ensembl:ncRNA mir-1 mir-1 stem loop
UUCAGCCUUUGAGAGUUCCAUGCUUCCUUGCAUUCAAUAGUUAUAUUCAAGCAUAUGGAAUGUAAAGAAGUAUGGAGCGAAAUCUGGCGAG